rnacentral:rRNA from 1 species
AUGUAUGAGAAUGUGAUUCAAUGGCGGUUCAGGGGUUUUAAUGGUCACACGAAAUGGAAUGAAUGCCAUCUUUCUUGGGAUGAUAUUCACAAUUUAUAUAGUAAGGGAAACCAUCCCUGGGUGGUUUUGGGGGAUUUUAAUGAAAUUAUAUAUCAUUCGGAAAAAGAGGGUGGUAUGGCUAGACCACUUGGUAUGAUGAGAGAUAUUCGUGAAUGCCUAAUGGUUUGUGGGCUGGACGACCUAGGCUACAUUGGCGACCUGUUCACUUGGAGGAGAGGCAAAACACGUGAACGCCUUGAUCGGACGGUCUGUAAUAUAGCAUGGGCAAACAAAUUUCCAUGUGCGGUAGUGAUCAAUGAAGAACAUGUUCAUUCUGAUCAUCGCCCAAUCAUACUGGAUAUGGAUUACUUGGAUGAAAAAAAUCUUUAA